rnacentral:rRNA from 1 species
UAUUGGACAAUGGGGGAAACCCUGAUCCAGCGACGCCGCGUGAGUGAAGAAGUAUUUCGGUAUGUAAAGCUCUGUCAGCAGGGAAGAAAGAAAUGACGGUACCUGACCAAGAAGUCCCGGCUAACUACGUGCCAGUAGCCGCGGUAAUACGCCGGGGGCAAGCGUUAUCCGGAUUUACUGGGUGUAAAGGGAGCGUAGACGGCGAUGCAAGUCUGAAGUGAAAGGCGGGGGCCCAACCCCCGGACUGCUUUGGAAACUGUAUGGCUGGAGUGCAGGAGAGGUAAGUGGAAUUCCUAGUGUAGCGGUGAAAUGCGUAGAUAUUAGGAGGAACACCAGAGGCGAAGGCGGCUUACUGGACUGUAACUGACGUUGAGGCUCGAAAGCGUGGGGAGCAAACAGG